UACGUAGGGGGCUAGCGUUGUCCGGAAUCAUUGGGCGUAAAGAGCGUGUAGGCGGUCCGGUAAGUCCGCUGUGAAAGUCGGGGGCUCAACCCUCGAAUGCCGGUGGAUACUGUCGGGCUAGAGUGCGGAAGAGGCGAGUGGAAUUCCUGGUGUAGCGGUGAAAUGCGUAGAUAUCAGGAGGAACACCCGUGGCGAAGGCGGCUCUCUGGGUCGGACCUGACGCUGAGGCGCGAAAGCGUGGGGAGCGAACGGG
rnacentral:rRNA from 1 species